AGGAAUAUUGGUCAAUGGGCGCGAGCCUGAACCAGCCAAGUGGCGUGAAGGAUGAAGGUCCUAUGGAUUGUAAACUUCUUUUAUACGGGAAUAAAGUGGUCCACGUGUGGGCUUUUGCAUGUACCGUAUGAAUAAGCAUCGGCUAACUCCGUGCCAGCAGCCGCGGUAAUACGGAGGAUGCGAGCGUUAUCCGGAUUUAUUGGGUUUAAAGGGAGCGCAGACGGGGGAUUAAGUCAGUUGUGAAAGUUUGCGGCUCAACCGUAAAAUUGCAGUUGAUACUGGUUCCCUUGAGUGCAGUUGAGGCAGGCGGAAUUCGUGGUGUAGCGGUGAAAUGCAUAGAUAUCACGAAGAACCCCGAUUGCGAAGGCAGCCUGCUAAGCUGUAACUGACGUUGAGGCUCGAAAGUGUGGGUAUCAAACAGGAUUAGAUACCCUGGUAGUCCACACGGUAAACGAUGGAUACUCGCUGUUGGCGAUAUACUGUCAGCGGCCAAGCGAAAGCAUUAAGUAUCCCACCUGGGGAGUACGCCGGCAACGGUGAAACUCAAAGGAAUUGACGGGGGCCCGCACAAGCGGAGGAACAUGUGGUUUAAUUCGAUGAUACGCGAGGAACCUUACCCGGGCUUAAAUUGCAGACGAAUUACUUGGAAACAGGUAAGCCGCAAGGCGUCUGUGAAGGUGCUGCAUGGUUGUCGUCAGCUCGUGCCGUGAGGUGUCGGCUUAAGUGCCAUAACGAGCGCAACCCUCGUGGCCAGUUACUAGCAGGUAACGCUGAGGACUCUGGCCAGACUGCCAUCGUAAGAUGCGAGGAAGGUGGGGAUGACGUCAAAUCAGCACGGCCCUUACGUCCGGGGCUACACACGUGUUACAAUGGGAGGUACAGAAGGCAGCUACCCGGCGACGGGAUGCCAAUCUCCAAAGCCUCUCUCAGUUCGGACUGGAGUCUGCAACCCGACUCCACGAAGCUGGAUUCGCUAGUAAUCGCGCAUCAGCCACGGCGCGGUGAAUACGUUCCCG
rnacentral:rRNA from 1 species